UCCCCAGCACCAAAACCAAGCAGCGAAUUGGUGCUCCUUGUGCAGCUGUGGGUGGUUAAGCAGCAAAGCUCUCAGGGCCCCCUGACUGCCAUAGGGAGUGCUCCCAGCUGCAGCGGGGAGAGAAGCUGGGGCAGGAUGGGUUUGCUGGGGGGGCUUCUGCUGGUCCUGUGGUCCCAAGCAGCAGGCGAUAAUAAAAGCUGGAAAGCUGGUGGGGAGAAGAGGAGAAAUCCGCACGUAGAACCAGCGGACUGAUGGCUGACAACAAGUGCUUGUGAUUUACAACGGGGUAAUUUUCCAGCUGCCAUAGUUUGUGUUAGCACAAAUGAGAAUUGAUGGCAGCUUGAGUUAACAGUCUGUGCGGAGAGGAACUGGCACGUGGUGGCUUUGAUCUCCUCUGCCACAGGAGCAGCCUCUUCUCCAGCCACCCAGAAGGAGCUGGUGAGCUCUGGCCCUGCAGCUGCCUGGACAACGUGGGAAAGGUGCGCAAGUGUUGGAGCAAUCCCUGGAAAGGACUGAGUGGAGCAGAGCCUAGGGUGGCUGGGAGAAAACUUCCUCUUGCUUUCCCUUCAUUCCUCCACGUGCUCUUUCUUUCCAGCCCCAACGCUUUGCUCCUCUGCUAUGCAGGUCACCCCAAACCCUGUCUGUGUUACGCCACUUCUGUAUCGUGCCCUGCUCCACAAAGCACUGGUGGAACAGUGGAAGAUGGUAAAUAUAUGCCAAGAUGUGAUGUGUUGCCAAGCAUCAGGAUGAUGUUGAGCCUAUUGGACAAGGACCCAAAUGGACUGCAUGGUGGUUUGAAGCAGGAUUAAAAAACAAAAGUCUGUGCCCCUCUUCUUUGCUAAUUGCCAGGGGAUAUUUGGGGGACUCCACCUAGCCCUGUCUCUGUGAGGAUACAGAGGCUAGGGCAGGAACACUGUCCCUGCGGAGCUGGAGUAAGGUGGAUGCUGUGGUCAUGGUGGUGCCCACCUGUGUGCAUGGGGCUGCCUGGCAGCAAUGGAGUGGUGAUCAGUGGGGUACUAACAUAGUGCAUGGGGAGAGCAGCACCAAACGUGGGGCGGGCUGAGGCUGUGUAUGGUUCCUAGGCUGGGCAGGAACAGUACAGUUACAAGUAAAGUACAUUGUUUAUAAUGUAAAUAUUCUUUUUUUUUAAGGUUUUCCCCAAAGUUCUUCAGUAGUUCUUAUUAGCAAAUAUGACACAUACCAGUCUCCGAAAAGUGGCAGUGAGAGGAGCUAGUGGGAAGAGUACGUAAAUAUGAAUUAUUUAAAAAAACAAAAAACAAACAAAAAACUUUAGAAGUUUAUUCUCUGGCUGUUUCUUGCCAUGGUAUCUGACUAACUAUCAUGUUACCAAAGGAGUGCACAAACCUGCAAGCCUUGCUGUUUGGAGUGUCUUGAUAGGUCUGCUUUUUUUUAUAUUUUAUGGAAAUAGAUACAACUUUGCUAUUAUCAGUCUGAUUCUCUUUUGAAUUUUGAAUUACUUUUUUUUUUUAACUAAUAGUCUGUUUUAUGUAAACCUCUUAGAGAUUAGGAGUUGAUUUCAAAGAUCAUCCUCUAUAAAGUCUCUUGAUCAUAUUUUAUGGUUCCUGUAACUCAUGGGUGUAAUCUCAUAUCCCUGGGAUAUUUAUGACAUGUUCGCCUAAUUCCCCAUGGUAGCUAAUCUCACUUCUCUACCUUAAAAAUAUUAAAAUAUCUUUAAAGCAA